rnacentral:rRNA from 1 species
GUGGGGAAUAUUGCACAAUGGGCGAAAGCCUGAUGCAGCAACGCCGCGUGAGGGAUGACGGCCUUCGGGUUGUAAACCUCUUUCGACACCGACGAAGCGAGAGUGACGGUAGGUGUAGAAGAAGCGCCGGCUAACUACGUGCCAGCAGCCGCGGUAACACGUAGGGCGCGAGCGUUGUCCGGAAUUAUUGGGCGUAAAGAGCUCGUAGGCGGUUUGUCGCGUCGAUCGUGAAAACUGGAGGCUUAACUUUCAGCGUGCGGUCGAUACGGGCAGACUUGAGUGUGGCAGGGGAGACUGGAAUUCCUGGUGUAGCGGUGAAAUGCGCAGAUAUCAGGAGGAACACCGGUGGCGAAGGCGGGUCUCUGGGCCGAUACUGACGCUGAGGAGCGAAAGCGUGGGGAGCGAACAGGAUUAGAAACCCGAGUAGUCC